ACCAGUACAAAAGUUUGAGAAUCACUGAACUAGACAGAUCUUUUAGAAAACCACAAUCUUGAUUCAAAGAUUGACUGUGAUGGAGCAUCCAACACUACCCUUGGUAAAUCAUUCCACUGGUCAAUUACCUUCCCUGUUAAAAAUGUACGUCUUAUUUCCAGUCUGAAUUUUCUAACUUUUAACUUCCAGACCUUGGAAGUUGUUACACCUUUGCCUGCUAGAUUGCACAGCCCAUUGCCAAGUAGUUGUUUAUAGACUGAUCAUCACCCCUUAACCUUCUCUUUGCAUAUGAAUUUGUCUUAAUUCAAAUGUGAUCAAACCUAACACUUUGGAAAGUUUCCUGUUCACUGCCUAGAAGGACAAAGAUAGGCAGCACCCUAUAUCCAAACAGCUCUCAGCAGAUCAGCUAGGAUGAUGUGGCUAAUAUUCAGAUUCCAUUGUAUCUUCAUAUCCGUCCUAUCAGAGCAGCUUCAUUUGCUUUUUUUGUACCACAGAAGUUCAUCAGAUGACUACAGGGAGCUGAGUCCAUGGCUGCUCCAUAUCAAGCAGCAGGACAAGAUCAGAAAUGAGGCUAUUUGAAGCCAAACCCAGCAACUGCAUCCAUCAGCACUGGUCGGCUGUGGCAGCUUUCUUGGUACGGACAUACUAUAAGAACAGAACGCCAAUGAAUUCUGGAGUAUGUACACCAAGGGAUGCUGCUACACGGCCAACAAUCACGAGUGCCAAAAGCUUGGGAGGCAUAACAAGACUGCUAGUGAUGGAUGUGAACAGAAUGUACAAUCAGACCACCGAUCCCAUCCUCCUUCAGUGCUUAGGUCAGACCUGCUCUUGGGCUGAAUCAGGGUUGCGACUGAAGGAGGUGGUUAUCUGCAGGAUCUCUCAGUUGAGUGCAGCCCUGGAGAACUGGAUUCGAGUCCUGCCUCUGCCACCAAGUUCCUGAGCGAUUCUGAGCAAGUCACUUAAACCAAACUUUUUACAAGUGGCCACUAAAUUGUGUUUUCCUCAUGUUCUGGGUGUCUAACGUGACACCUUGGGGCCAGACUUGCAGGCAUGCUGAGCAUGUACAGCUGCAACGGAGGUGGCUUGGAGCUGUGCUCUGAACAGAUAAAGUCCCAUAAAAUGCUAAGGACACUGAAAAAUCAUAGAGACUAACAAAUGUAUUUGGGCAUAAGCUUUCAUGGGCUAAAACCCACUUCAUCGGACGCAUGCAGUGGAAAAUACAGUAGGAAGAUAUAUGUACACAGAGAACAUGAAAAGUGGGUGUUGCCCUACCAACUAUAAUAAGACCAAUUAAGGUGGGCUAUUAUCAGCAGGAGAAAAAAAACUUUUGUAGUGAUAAUCUGGAUGGCCCAUUUCCAACAGUAGACAAGGUGUGAGUAACA